rnacentral:rRNA from 1 species
GCUUGCUGGGGUACGUACAGUGGCGCACGGGUGAGUAACGCGUGGGUAAUCUGCCCCUGAAUCUGGGAGAGCGCGGCGAACGCGGUGCUAAUACCGGAUGACAUCGAAUUGACUACGGUUGAUUGGAUCACAGGUAGCCACUCCAUGGAAGCUACUGUAUGGGGAUGAGCCCGCGUACCAUUAGCUUGUUGGUAGGGUAACGGCCUACCAAGGCGACGAUAGUUAGCUGGUCUGAGAGGAUGAUCAGCCACGCUGGAACGGGAACACUGUCCAGACUCCUACGGGAGGCAGCAGUGAGGAAUAAUGCGCAAUGAGGGAAACCUUGACGCAGCAACGCCGCGUGAGUGAUGAAGGCUUUCGGGUCGUAAAGCUCUGUCAAGUGGGAAGAAAUCCCGGGAAGUGAACAGUUUUUCGGGUUGACGGUACCACUGAAGGAAGCACCGGCUAACUCCGUGCCAGCAGCCGCGGUAAUACGGAGGGUGCGAGCGUUAUUCGGAAUUACUGGGCGUAAAGGGCGCGCAGGCGGUCAUGUAAGUCAGAUGUGAAAGCCCGGGGCUUAACC